rnacentral:lncRNA from 1 species
CACAAAGUGCUUGGUGAUCUCUCCCAAGACAAACCCAAUGAAAGAGGGGUAAGGAGGAUGCCAAGAUAUUAUCCCAAUGCUAAUGCUUAUGAUGGAGUUACAUGAGGGAUCUUAGGGUCAAAAUUGGGGUCUUACAUACCCAUAUUCAUCUUAUUAUAUUAUUGUGUAAUCCAAGAGAAAUGGACUUCUUGCUGACUUUUUUGUCAUCCAUGUGUAUAUGUGUGUAUAUAAUUGUUGCCUUACCUUACUCCCCUUUAUCUUAGACCUAGUUUAAAACCUUAGGAUUCUUAUUUGACAACCAUUUUCAUUAAAAACCUUUGACACGUGUUAAUUGACUUUUUCAAACUUCUUUUCUUAAAUCAAAUACUUCAAUACACUUUAAAAUAUCUCAACUUUUUCAUAAGACUAAAAGAUACAAACCUUCGUUCAAAUCUUUGUUACUUUAGCUUUUCCCAAUUAAAACUCUUUUCAAAGAGUUUAGAUAUGAUUCAUUUCUACGGAAGAUAUAUCUCUUUUAUCCCCACAACACAAUUAAAAUGAUACUUUUCCAUUUAAGGGAGGUAUGUGGCAUACUCGUUGAUUGUAUAUCCAAGUUGGAGCCUUUCUCUUACAAUGAGGCAAAGAUUUAUAUUCACCAUGUUUGUGGUGGUAUAGUUAAACAUUAAUUUUUAAUAUGACAACUUGUCUCUUCUCCUAAAAUCAACCAACAAACAUGUUUUCAAACUUUUUUACCCGAACUACGGAAUUUUGAUCCUUCAUUGGUACGUAGGCACAAGACUUUAUGUCUUUUCAAAUAAAAAAUCAAUGAAACACACUUCUCUUCUCAUCUCCCCAAUCUUUAAGCAAACAACAAUAACCAAACAUAAAUAUCUCAACAGGUUCCUAUAGGAUACUAUAGAUGAUCAGGGUGUUAAUACCUUCCCUUUUCAUAACAAACCCCCAAGCCUUCAAUCUCUUUACUUCACUAUUUUUCAUUGAAUAUUUAUGGGUUAUUUGAUCUUUC